rnacentral:rRNA from 1 species
UGGGGAAUAUUGCACAAUGGGCGCAAGCCUGAUGCAGCCAUGCCGCGUGUAUGAAGAAGGCCUUCGGGUUGUAAAGUACUUUCAGCGAGGAGGAAGGCGUUGUGGUUAAUAACCGCAGCGAUUGACGUUACUCGCAGAAGAAGCACCGGCUAACUCCGUGCCAGCAGCCGCGGUAAUACGGAGGGUGCAAGCGUUAAUCGGAAUUACUGGGUGUAAAGCGCACGCAGGCGGUCUGUCAAGUCGGAUGUGAAAUCCCCGGGCUCAACCUGGGAACUGCAUCCGAAACUGGCAGGCUAGAGUCUUGUAGAGGGGGGUAGAAUUCCAGGUGUAGCGGUGAAAUGCGUAGAGAUCUGGAGGAGUACCGGUGGCGAAGGCGGCCCCCUGGACAAAGACUGACGCUCAGGUGCGAAAGCGUGGGGAGCAAACA